ensembl:lncRNA
AGAAGAGGAGACAAAUGCAGAAUUGUCACUUUUCAACGUCAACUGGAGAAAGGCAGCAAGUGGUGAUGAUUGACGCCUGGGCUAAAAUGCAUCCCAGAAUCCAUUUCUCCACAAUGCACCCUGGCUACGAGUGCAACUCACCUCUAAUGCAAGAAAAUCGUAUCCGCCUCUAACUCCGUUGUCAAGUAUUGGAGCUAAUAUACAACACAUACGAACAGCUCAAACGAUCAGAUUCAUCCACGCAGAGAAUACAAAAAAAAAUAAAAAAUUCUGUAAGUAAAUUGCAAUUUUAUGUUUCAAACAGAGAUGGUGACAGAGAGGCAAAAGUUUCAUACUGCAGCUUUGAG